rnacentral:lncRNA from 1 species
CUUAUUUUUAAAAAAGUGUUUUUCUCUUUUAAUAUUUUUCUGUUAUUUAAAAGUUGUACAUGUGACCAUAUGGCUACUGUCCCUUCAUCAGUUUUAGAGGGAAGAUGGAAAAACGAUUCAGGUCAUCUCAUUCCCCGCUCCUUUCAGACACCUGACAAUGAAGUACAGUUGGAAGAAACCAGCCAUCUUGCGAGGCCUUUGUGACUGGGACAGGAAGGUCGUGUGCUCCCUGGUACCGGGCAGCAGUGGGGGGAGCUGAGUGGCAGGCUGCACUGCUGCCAAGGACUCUGCAUCGUCACUGUAUGCAUCUCUGAGGUCAUGCUGCAGCCUAAAUUUGGCCUUGUUCUGUGGACUGAACAUUUUUUGAUGUGUUUGCUCUGUUACCGUUUUGAACUUGUACAUCUCUGUCAGGGCUUGGAAAGCAAUUGGUGUGCAAAUGGCUAGGGGCUUCUGCCUUAGUUUGCUCUACAAGGAAGCUGGUUUACACGCACCAACACUGCUCUGCAAAGCAAACCAACACCUGGAAGUGGGAAGCCGACUGAGAGACUCACUUUGAACCCACUUUUUGUCCAAACCAAAAUGUUUAUGUAAACUCAAAGCCUAACAGAUGAGUUCUCACUAGGCAGAAUGAGGACGCUGCACUGACUGUAUUGCCUGAGAUCUGAAGUUUAAGCAUCA